rnacentral:lncRNA from 1 species
AAGCCGGAAGUGGAUAGGGUGGUGUCACGUGUUCCGCUUCGUUGGAGGAGGUGGACACCUGUCUUGGAAUCUUGGCUGACCAGCUCUCCUCCCUGCGCCCGGGACUGGACUGCGCUAGGACGUGGAGGCCUCCACCCGGAUUGCGAGCUUUACUCGCAGUGUGGAAGGUGUUGCCCAUUUCAUCUCCACAGCUUUGCCGACCCUGAUCGCUCGUUUCGGUGGCCUGGUGGGUUCACCCCAGGCUGAGCCAGCGCCUACGCACCUCUGAGCAGAGCCUUUGUGGUAGUUAACAACGAACGAUAUACAAUAACUCCGUUUAGUGAGCGCAGACUAUGCGAGAAACGCUACACACACUAUCUUAUUUAAGCCUCAUAGUUCUUAUGAGGUAGGUCUCUUUAUCCAUCGCUUUACAGAUGCAGAGUCCCGAGAUAUUACCUGCUCAGGGUCACACAACUAUUAAUUGGCAGAAAGAAA